UACAUCAGUGGUUAAGAAAAAAAAUAUUAUCUCCCAUCAUAUAAUUUAACAAAAAAAAAGCGAAAAUUCUGACAUACGAAGAAACAUUGUAUGUUGUUGUUAUAUGCGCUAUUUAAUAUUUAGAAAUAUGUGAUGUCAAAAUGAAAUUCAAACAAACAUCUCCGUCUUUAUUUGCAGAUUGUAACACAUUUCAAGCCAAUGAGGAUCAAGUUCGGUUAUAUAUACUACAUUUUACAUAGUGGAACAUACAUAACGAGGAAUUUACAAUCAGUUAUAGAGUCGUACUCUAAUCUUCCACAAUGAUACGCAAGAAAAUAGACUAUUUGAGAAGAAUGAAACGCAGCGGCUCAUCGAAGAUGAUCAUCGGAACUACGAAACAGAGCCGGUCACGGAAAGCGGGUCAAGGCCUGUCCAUCUUACUUAUUACUACACCUACUUUUCAUCGAGUUAUAUAUUUACGAGAGAAAAAGAGAAAGAGAGAAAGAGAGAAAGAGAGAAAAAGUGUGUGUGUGUGUGUGUGUGUGUGUGUGUGAGAGAAAUAGCAACGACGGGUCCCUCUUACUGGUACAGUGAUGCAAUUUGAAUCUAUUAUCUCUCGACUCUCUUGUAGAUCCGAUUAGUCCGAGGAAGUACGUCCUUUUUUGUCGGAACGCUCGUUAAAAAUUUUAAACUAUUUAAAUCGCCACCGAUCCGUCAAUGUCCGCUAUUUAUCUAACUUUCUCACGAUUCUCUACAACGUGAUAUUGAAACUAAUUUUAUUAAUCCAAUAUUAAUUGUCAUCUAUAUGAAAUGUGUAUCAAUUUUCCUAUUCGAUUUUACUAAUAAAUUAUUUCUUUUUUUUUACCUAUAAAGACUUGUAGCUUUACGAUCAAUAAAAAUUAACUUAUAAAGUCUCGAACAAAAGUAAUUGAUUUAGAAAAUCGCUUAAGGAACUUUAAUAUCACUCUUUGUAUAGAAAAUUGUAAAAACAAAGAUAUUUCAUGAAAUAUAUUUUUAACGAUACUAAUCGUUCACAAAUAGGAGUUAUGUAUAACGAUGAAACGAUAACCUCGUAAAUAAAUAGAAACAAAUCAUUUCUUUCUUUCGUUUAAUAUGGUAA